AUGCAGUUCCCACUAUUGAUGUGGCUGAAUUCAUGGAACCAGUUGAAGAGGAGUUGACCGAUCGAAAACGAAGACAAUUUGCCAGAAGCAUUCUUAUUAGACUCAUCUGGGCAUAGAUGUAUCAUCCUACAAAUUUGCAAUGUGCAGACAGCAUUGGUAUCAUUAGGUAAAGGUUGACGAGAAAGAAGCUGAAAGACUAAUGAACAGUACUUAAAAAUCAAAUUGAAAUAAUAAACACAUUAUUUCAAUUCAGAUUUCAAAGUGCACAAAUAAUUGCAUAACAUGAUGGGGAAGAGUCAUUAAAUGAUGAACUUAUUUUGAA